rnacentral:rRNA from 1 species
GAUGAACGCUGGCGGCGUGCCUAAUACAUGCAAGUCGAGCGAACAGACGAGGAGCUUGCUCCUCUGACGUUAGCGGCGGACGGGUGAGUAACACGUGGAUAACCUACCUAUAAGACUGGGAUAACUUCGGGAAACCGGAGCUAAUACCGGAUAAUAUAUUGAACCGCAUGGUUCAAUAGUGAAAGACGGUUUUGCUGUCACUUAUAGAUGGAUCCGCGCCGCAUUAGCUAGUUGGUAAGGUAACGGCUUACCAAGGCAACGAUGCGUAGCCGACCUGAGAGGGUGAUCGGCCACACUGAAACUGAGACACGGUCCAGACUCCUACGGGAGGCAGCAGUAGGGAAUCUUCCGCAAUGGGCGAAAGCGUGACGGAGCAACGCCGCGUGAGUGAUGAAGGUCUUCGGAUCGUAAAACUCUGUUAUUAGGGAAGAACAAAUGUGAAAGUAACUAUGCACGUCUUGACGGUACCUAAUCAGAAAGCCACGGCUAACUACGUG